rnacentral:lncRNA from 12 species
GUGGUUUCACAGCAAUGCCAAACCUCCCCGACUCCAUGACCUCCUUGAUAAGACUGGCCCCACUCGGCAUGGCAGGUGCAUUCCUUUUGGAAGACAAGGUGGGGUUCUCAAGAGGUUCAUGUACCAGAGGUCCAGAGGCUCUCAGCAGUGCUAGAGGCACGCUUUGCACCUGAAAAUAUGAAAAGGAAACACUAGAAGAGUGUUUCCCUGUUGUUAAAAUAUGAAGUGCUGUUCAUCCCCUUACAUGGCUCUUUAAUAGAAGAAGCCAAAUAUCAGGAAGAAUGUUUGCCUGUGCCUCCACAAGAAUCAAGGAUGCCUUUGCAAAUUAUCUGCACCAAAAACCAUUGAUUUGAAAAAUGUUGUCCUAUAACAUCAUGGAAAAAACUCAACUGAAGUCCUGGAAAUACAACAGCAUGCUUAAAUGACACUGGAAACAACACAGAACCAUGCCAGGCAGAGAGUGAAUAUUCUGGAAGUUAUACUUCUGGCUCUAUUCAGCCCUAUUAAUAAAGAGGACUAAUUAGUGUGUUGCAGAGAGUUUUACUAUCUUCCCAAAUGCCUUUGAGAUCAUUACUAAAGGAAAUAUAGUGAUUUAACCACAGCAAGUCUCUCAAAUGUUGAGAUAAUUUUGCUUAAACAGAAAAGGCAUCCUGAGGAAGAGAGGAGACUUAUUUUCAUAAUACGGUAGAGAACAUAAUCAUCUGUCUCCAGAGAGGCUAUUGGCAGUAAACAUUUAAGAAAUAAAAUGUAAUCUGGCAAUCAGUUUAGUGCUGUGCCUUUACCCUGAAAUUGUCUGCAUGAACCCAGAGCAGAACACCAUUAACACCUGGUACCCGAGCUAUGGCCAGGGGAUGCCAAACUGGAGCGAAGGCAUUUUCAUACGCGUUACUGCAUCCAUGCCAAGAGGACACAGAGCUUUCCUGAAA